rnacentral:rRNA from 1 species
GACGAACGCUGGCGGCGUGCUUAACACAUGCAAGUCGAACGGAAAGGCCUUUUCGGAGGUACUCGAGUGGCGAACGGGUGAGUAACACGUGGGUGAUCUGCCCUGCACUCUGGGAUAAGCCUGGGAAACUGGGUCUAAUACCGGAUAGGACCGCACUUUAGUGUGUGUGGUGGAAAGUUUUUUCGGUGUAGGAUGAGCCCGCGGCCUAUCAGCUUGUUGGUGGGGUAAUGGCCUACCAAGGCGGCGACGGGUAGCCGGACUGAGAGGUUGGUCGGCCACAUUGGACAUCAGAUGCGGCCCAGACCCCACUCGGAGCCAGAGGUGGGGAAUAUUGCACAAUGGGGCCAAGCCAGUUGCGGGCCCCCCCCGGGGGGAUAGCAGGCCUUCGGGUUGUAACCUCCUUUCCCCAGGGCAGAAGCGUUUUUAGACGGAACCGGGGAAAAAAGCCCCGGUUAACUACGU